rfam:Glycine soja cultivar W05 C25740062_1, whole genome shotgun sequence.
UUCUUAUUGGAUAAUGACUAUUACGUGCCAUGUUUUGAUUAAAUGUAACUCUAUGAAAGAUGAAAUAAAUUGUUGUUUUCAUUGAACAAUCAGAAUAUGACAUAUGAUAAUUAUCAUCC